rnacentral:pre_miRNA from 1 species
AUUAUACUCCCUCCGUUCGAAAUUACUUGUAGUAGAAAUGGAUGUAUCUAGAUGUAUUUUAAUUCUAGAUACAUCCAUUUUCAAGACAAAUAAUUCCGAACGGAGGGAAUACUUA